rnacentral:rRNA from 1 species
ACGCAGUAGCAAUACUGAGUGGCAAACGGGUGAGUAACGCGUGGGCGACCUGCCUUCGAGUGGGGGAUAACUUCUGGAAACGGGAGCUAAUACCCAAUAUGCUGUGGAGUGAAAGAAUUUCGCCGAAAGACGAUCUUGCGUCUGAUUAGCUAGUUGGGGUGGUAAUGGCACACCAAGCCGACGAUCCAUAGCUGGUUUGAGAGGAUGAUCAGCCACACUGGGACUGAGACACGGUCCAGACUCC